UGUUAAAGCUUUCAUCAAUUUCUACUAAUAAAAACUGGCAUGGCUAAGGGAUAACCAGACAGUUACAGCUAGCAUGCCACUUGUACCACAUUUUGACGUAUAAUGACUAGUUUUUAACAAUAGAAAUGUAUGAAAUUUUUAAUA
rfam:Gossypium arboreum cultivar AKA8401 contig_11166_3, whole genome shotgun sequence.